rnacentral:rRNA from 1 species
AACGCGAAGAACCUUACCUGGGCUCGAAAUGCAGGAGACCGGGGUAGAAAUAUCCCUUCCUCGCAAGAGGCUGCUGUAUAGGUGCUGCAUGGCUGUCGUCAGCUCGUGUCGUGAGAUGUUGGGUUAAGUCCCGCAACGAGCGCAACCCUCAUCCCUAGUUGCCACCGGGUAAUGCCGAGCACUCUAGUGAAACCGCCCCGGAUAACGGGGAGGAAGGUGGGGAUGACGUCAAGUCAGCAUGGCCUUUAUGUCCAGGGCUACACACGUGUUACAAUGCAUGGUACAGACCGUUGCAAACCCGCGAGGGGGAGCUAACCGGAAAAAACCAUGCUCAGUUCGGAUUGCAGUCUGCAACUCGACUGCAUGAAGCCGGAAUCGCUAGUAAUGGCGUAUCAGAACGACGCCGUGAAUACGUUCCCGGGCCUUGUACACACCGCACGA